rnacentral:rRNA from 1 species
GGUCAAGUUACAAAGAGCGCACAAUGGAUGCCUUGGCAUCAGAAGGCGACGAAGGACGUGGUAAGCUGCGAUAAGCUUCGGGGAGCGGCAAACACGCUUUGAUCCGGAGAUUUCCGAAUGGGGAAACCCGGACCGAUUAAUAUCGGUCCACUGGAGUCUGAAUACAUAGGGCUUCAGAGCUAUACCCGGUGAAGUGAAACAUCUCAGUAACCGGAGGAGAAGAAAACAAUCGUGAUUCCGUAAGUAGUGGCGAGCGAAAGCGGAACAGCCUAAACCUUCCGACUUGUCGGGAGGGGUUGCGGGACUCUAACGUGGUAUCGGACGGCAUAGCAGAAUGAUCUGGAAAGAUCAUCCAUAGAGGGUGAUAGACCCGUAUGCGAAAUGCUGAACGGACCUAGGAGUAUCCCAAGUAGAGCGGGACACGUGAAAUCCAGCUCGAAUCCGGAGGGUCCAACCUCCAAGGCUAAAUACUCACUGAUGACCGAUAGUGAACUAGUACCGUGAGGGAAAGGUGAAAAGAACCCCUGUUAGGGGAGUGAAAUAGUACCUGAAAUUGUGUGCUUACAAACUAUGGUAGUCCUCGGCGCGCAAGCGUCGCAGGAUGGCCGUUUGCCUUUUGCAUAAUGAGUCCGCGAGUUACGGUAGGCAGCCAGGUUAAUCCGUCGGCUGACGGAGAAGCCGCAGCGAAAGCGAGUGUGAAUAGCGCGAAUCAGUUGCCUGCUGUAGACCCGAAACCGGGUGAGCUACCCAUGGUCAGGCCGAAUCCUCAGUAACAUGAGGUGGAGGGCCGAACUAGUGACCGUUGAAAAGGUCUUGGAUGAACUGUGGGUAGGAGCGAAAGACUUAUCAAACUCGGUGAUAGCUGGUUCUCUUCGAAAUAGCUUUAGGGCUAGCCUGCAUCAAUGCUCGAAGUGGUGGUAGAGCACUGAAUGGUAUAGGGUCCUUACCGGGAUACCAAAGCCAAUCAAACUCCGAAUACUACUUCAGUCAGAUGUGGAGUCAGACUCUGGGGGAUAAGCUUCAGAGUCGAAAGGAAAACAGUCCAGCCCGCCGGCUAAGGCCCCAAAAGUUGGUUAAGUGACUAAGGAUGUAAGAUUGCAAAGACAGCGAGGAUGUUGGCUUAGAGGCAGCCAUCAUUUAAACAGUGCGUAAUAGCUGACUCGUCGAGUGAUCUUGCGCCGAAAAUGAUCGGGACUAAAUCAACUGCCGAAGCCGCGGAUGUCAUCCCGUUUAGGCGGGAUGGCGUGGUAGAAGAGCGUUCCAUUUGGAGUGAAGCGGGAGGGGAACCGACCGUGGACCGGAUGGAAGUGAUUAUGCGGACAUGAGUAACGAAAAGUCCGAUGAAAAUUCGGACCGCCGUAAUCCUGAGAUUUCCUGGGGAAGGUUCGUCCACCCAGGGUUAGCCGGCCCCUUAGCCAAGGCCGAAAGGCGUAGGUGAUGGGAAACAGGUUCAAUAUUCCUGUGCCGCCGGUCUGACGUUUGAGCGAGGGAGUGACGCAGUAGGCUAAAUCAGCCAUCGACUGGAAGUGAUGGCCGAAACCUUUAGAGGGCCCUGGUCGGCAAAUCCGCCGGGGCAUUAACCUUGAGGGGCGUAAGGACGCUGAGUAGCGAUACAAGGCGGAUUGAUUGAUGCCACACUGACAAGAAAUAGCUUCUAAGCGAGUCAGGCAGGCGACCGUAUUCAAACCGACACAGGUGGGAUGGUAGAAUAUACCAAGGCGCGCGAGAUAAACCUCGUUAAGGAACUCGGCAAAUUAGCCCCGUAACUUCGGAAGAAGGGGUCCUUUCCAGUGUAAUCGCAAGAAAGCACAGGGAAGGCGCAGUGAAAUGGCCCAGGCGACUGUUUAACAAAAACACAGCACUCUGCGAACUCGUAAGAGGAUGUAUAGGGUGUGACACGUGACCAAUGCCGAAAGGUUAAGGCAAGGGGUUAGCCGCAAGGCAAAGCUCUGAACUGAAGCCCCGGUGAAUGUCGGCCGUAACUAUAACGGUCCUAAGGUAGCGAAAUUCCUUGGCGGGUAAGUUCCGUCCUGCACGAAUCGUGUAACGAUCUGGGCACUGUCUCAACGAGGAUCUCGGUGAAGUUGUACUUCCGGUGAAAAUGCCGGAUACCCGCAGAAGGACGGAAAGACCCCGUGAACCUUUACUGUAUUCUGAUAUUGGAUCUCGGUUUUUCAUAUGUAGCAUAGCUGGGAGACUUUGAAGCGCCGGCGCUAGCCGGAGUGGAGUCAACAGUGAAAUACCAGUUUUGGAUAACUAAGAUUCUAACCCCUUUCCCGUGAAUCCGGGAGGGGAACAGUGUUAGAUGGUCAGUUUGACUGGGGCGGUUUCCUCCCAAAUGGUAACGGAGGAGUUCGAAGGUUCUCUCAUCAUGGUUGGCAAUCAUGAGUAGAGCGUAAGGGUAGAAGAGAGCUUAACUGCGAGACCUACAAGUCGAGCAGGUGCGAAAGCAGGACCUAGUGACCCGGUGGUUGCUUGUGGUAGCGCCAUCGCUCAUCGGACAAAAGGUACUCCGGGGAUAACAGGCUGAUCGCUGCCAAGAGUUCACAUCGACGCAGCGGUUUGGCACCUCGAUGUCGGCUCAUCGCAUCCUGGGGCUGAAGAAGGUCCCAAGGGUUUGGCUGUUCGCCAAUUAAAGCGGUACGUGAGCUGGGUUUAGAACGUCGUGAGACAGUUCGGUCCCUAUCCGUCGUGGGCGCAGGAGACUUGAGGGAAGCUGUCCUUCGUACGAGAGGACUGGGAUGGACAAACCUCUGGUGUACCGGUUGUCGCGCCAGCGGCAUCGCCGGGUAGCUAUGUUUGGAACGGAUAAGCGCUGAAAGCAUCUAAGCGCGAAGCCGAUCCCAAGAUGAGGUCUCCCGCGGAAUAAUCCGCCUAAAGGCCCCUUCGAGACGAGGAGGUUGAUAGGCCGGAGGUGUACGCACAGUAAUGUGUUUAGCCGACCGGUACUAAUAGGCCGUGCGGCUUGACCGG